rnacentral:rRNA from 1 species
CCCUUAGAUGUCCUGGGCCGCACGCGCGCUACACUGACAUGUUCAACAAGCCUCCUAGUUCGACAGGAUUUGGGAAAUCUUUGAACGCAUGUCGUGAUAGGGAUAGAUCAUUGCAAUUAUUGAUCUUGAACGAGGAAUUCCUAGUAAACGCGAGUCAUCAGCUCGCAUUGAUUACGUCCCUGCCCUUUGUACACACCGCCCGUCGCUCCUACCGAUUGAGUGGUCCGGUGAGGCUUUGGGAUCUGAGCGGAAAGAGCGUUUCGCUGUUUCUGCCCGGAAAACUCAGUCGAACCUUAUCAUUUAGAGGAAGGAGAAGUCGUAACA